rnacentral:rRNA from 1 species
GACGAACGCUGGCGGCGUGCUUAACACAUGCAAGUCGAACGGAAAGGCUCCAGCUUGCUGGAGUGCUCGAGUGGCGAACGGGUGAGUAACACGUGGGUAAUCUGCCCUGCACUCUGGGAUAAGCCUGGGAAACUGGGUCUAAUACUGGAUAUGACCUUUCUCCUUAUGGGGUUUGGUGGAAAGUUUUUCGGUGUAGGAUGAGCCCGCGGCCUAUCAGCUUGUUGGUGGGGUGAUGGCCUACCAAGGCGACGACGGGUAGCCGGCCUGAGAGGGUGAUCGGCCACAUUGGGACUGAGAUACGGCCCAGACUCCUACGGGAGGCAGCAGGGGGGAAUAUUGCACAAGUGGCGGAAGCCUGAUGCAGCGACGCCGCGGGGGGGAUGACGGCCUUCGGGUUGUAAACCUCUUUCAGCAGGGACGAAGCGUAAGUGACGGUACCUGCAGAAGAAGCACCGGCUAACUAUGUGC